CCCAAGAAAGCUUUGGCUUUGAAGCCUCGUUCUGAAGAGACGAUAAAGGGGUUUCCCCUCUUGGGA
rnacentral:tRNA from 1 species